GAUCGAGGAUUGCAACGAAUACCCUUUUGGGCUAUCCGCCUGAUCUCUGAUACGUGGCCUUGGUAUCGAAAGCGUGCUUAUGGUAUUAAGGUAUUACGGUCAAAAGGUUAGAACGGAUUACAUUCGUUAAGGAUGUUGACGUA
rnacentral:rRNA from 1 species